rnacentral:rRNA from 1 species
UUUCCUACGGGGCGCAGCAGUGGGGAAUAUUGCACAAUGGGGGAAACCCUGAUGCAGCGACGCCGCGUGAGUGAAGAAGUAUUUCGGUAUGUAAAGCUCUAUCAGCAGGGAAGAAAAUGACGGUACCUGACUAAGAAGCCCCGGCUAGCUACGUGCCAGCAGCCGCGGUAAUACGUAGGGGGCAAGCGUUAUCCGGAUUUACUGGGUGUAAAGGGAGCGUAGACGGCCAGACAAGUCUGAAGUGAAAAUCCAGCGCUUAACGUUGGAAGUGCUUUGGAAACUGCCGGGCUGGAGUGCAGGAGGGG